rnacentral:rRNA from 1 species
CCUACGGGUGGCAGCAGUGAGGAAUAUUGGGCAAUGGACGCAACUCUGACCCAGCCAUGCCGCGUGAGUGAAGAAGGUUCUCGGAUUGUUAAGCUCUUCCGGAUGUGACGAUGAUGACGGUAGCAUCUAAAGAAUCCCCGGCUAACUUCGUGACAGCAGCCGCGGUAAUACGAAGGAGGCAAGCGUUGUUCGGAAUUAAUGGGCGUAAAGGGAGUGUAGGCGGUUUAGUAAGAUAGUGGUGAAAUGCCAGGGCUUAACUUUGGAAUUGCCAUCAUAACUAUUAGACUAGAGUUACAGAGAGGAUAGUGGAAUACCCGGUGUAGAGGUGAAAUGCGUAGAUAUUGGGUAGAACACCGGUGGCGAAGGCGACUAUCUGGCUGUACAUUGACGCUGAGGCUCGAAAGCAUGGGGAUCAAACAGGAUUAGAUACCCUGGUAGUC